CAAAACCCCUGCAAAAUUAAGACUCCAUUCUCACAAAGCUUGUUUUUAGACACUGUAAGGGAAAAAGGAAAGAUGUCUCUUUCUUUCUACAAAGCAUGCAAAAAAUUAGACAAUUUUUUAAAAGAACUUUUAAGGUUAAAGACAUUUUUAAUUCCAAAAGAGUAAAACAAAAGUCAAAAUUAUAAGUUAGAUCUAUUCUUCAUACCAGACUGUUAGCAUUAACACUUACUAGUUAAUAUAUUUUAUAAGAAAUAGUUCUUAUUCAUACUUAAGCUCAUGUGUAUGUUUUACCCCAUGCCUGAGUAGGACUCAUAACUGCGGAGGGCUGUGUGUGACUUCUCAGGUGCCCCUCUGUCUGUCCUGCUCUCUUAAUCCUAGACACAGGUAGGAACCUAACAUUAACUACCUCUGGGAGAUAAUUCACCCUCAACACCAAGGUUUCAGUCAGAAGCUAUGUAAUUUCAUUCCCAGGUGAAUAUCAAUACUAUUUCCCCACACAUUCUUCCCUUGUUAAACUUUUAUAGGUCUGUUGCCUACACUAAAUUGGAAAAUUCUUACAAGCAGGGACUAGGACAUUGUAUUUACAGUGCUUUAUCAAAGAUUCUGCCCAACAAGGUUUUUAAUAGACAACCCAACAAGGUUUUUAAUAGACAUUUGUUGAUUCAUUAAUUUAUUCAGAAUGUACAUAUUUACUGAGUGCCUGCUCUGUGCCAAGUACAAUUUUCGAUGCUAAGAGAGUCAGCAGGAAACAAAGGAAGGAAAUAUCCCUGCUCCCUUGAAGCUUAUUUCUAGAUGAAGAAUAAACAAAUAAACAUAUAUAUGUUUACAUAUAUAUAUAGUUUAUUUUAUAUAUACAUAGAGAUACUUACAUACAUAAAGUAUGUGAGAGGUGAUAAAUGAUAUAGAGAAAAAUAAAGUGGAAAAGAGGCAUAAGAGAGUGGUGGGGGGGGGUGUCAAUUUUAAAAGAGUGGCCAUGGCCAGGUGUGGUGGCUCACACCUGUAAUCCCAGCACUUUGGGAGGCCGAGGUGGGUGGAUCACCUAAGGCCAGAAGUUCGAGACCAGCCUGGCCCACAUAGUUAAACCCCGUCUCUACUAAAAAUACAAAAAAUUAGCCUGGUUUUGUGGUAGGCGCCUGUAAUCCCACUCGGGAUGCUGAGGCAGGAGAAUCUCUUGAACCCGGGAGGUAGAGGUUGCAGAGAGCCAAGAUUGCACCAUUGCACUCCAGGCUGUGCAACAAAAGCGAAACUCCGUCUUAAAAAAACAAAACAAAACAAAAGAGUGGUCAGAGUAGGUAAUAGUUAAACAAAAACAUGAAGGAAGUGAAGAAGCAAGCCUACAGGUUACUGGCAGGAAGAACGUUCCUUGCGUGUUCAAGGAACAAGGAGGCUAAUGUGGUUGGAGUCAAGCAAACAAGAGGGAGAAGAAAGUGAGAAAAGCCACACAGGACUUCAGGGUUUGCUCUGACUGGCCUGGGAAGCCGCCAGAGGGUUCUGAAUAGGGCAAUGAUAGCAUAUGCUUUACAGGCAUCACAGGCUUGCCGACUGCUGGGCUGAAAAGACACUCAAGGAGGUCAAGGGCAGUAGCAGGGAGUCUGAGCCCAGUCAGCCAACUGCUAAAAUAGUAGAGGUGGGAACCGAUGGUGGUUGGUGCCAAGAUGGUUACGGUGGCAGUGGUAAGAAAUGGUCAGAUUAUUAGACAGAUCCUGAAGGCACAGUCAGCAGCAUUAUUUACUGAGAGAUAGGAUGUGGUUUGUGAGAGAAAGUGACAAGUCACAAAAGGCUAAUAUUUUUGGCCUGAACAAAUGAAGAAUGGAACUGCCAUUACUGAGAUGGGAAAACUUUGGGAGGGCUGGGGGAGCAUUUCUGAGCUGUUAAAUUGGAGAUGUCUGUCAAAUAGGCAAAUAGAUGGAUGAAGAUGACAUUCCAGAGGGAGACUUGGGCUAGAAAUUUGGGAGUAGUAUAUAGAUUGAAUUUACGUGAAUUUAGCAGAUAAACAGAAGAGACAAGGUCCAUGGACUAAGCCCAGGGGCACGCUAAGACAUUGAGAUAAAUCUAUAAGAAGAGAAGAAAUCAAGGAGCAUGUAAUUUUUUUUUUUUUUUUUUUGAGAGGAGUCUCGCUCUGUCGCCCAGUCUGGAGUACGGUAGUGUGAUCCCGGCUCACUGCAACCUUGGCCUCCCAGGUUCAAGGGAUUCUCCUGCCUCAGCCUCCCAAGUAGCUGAGAUUACAGGCACCUGCCACCACGCCCGGCUAAUCUUUUGCAUUUUUAGUAGAGACGGGGUUUCACCAUGUUGUCCAGGCUGGUCUCGGACUCCUGACCACAAGCAAUCCACCCGCCUCAGCCUCCCAAAGUGCUGGGAUUACCGGCGUGAACCACCGCGUCCGGCAGGGGCAUGUAACGUUCUAGAGCGGAGAAAGCACUUCAAGAAGAAAGGAGAAAGGAGUGAUCAACUAUAUCAAAUAAGAUCAAAACUUUGAACCAACCAUUGGAUUUAGCUGUAGUGACUUCAGAUGACAGGACUUUCAAUGGAGCGGUGGGAGGUGAAACCCUGACUGGAGGGGUUCAAGGAAAAAUGGAGGACCUGGAGUAUAAAUAGCCCUUUUGAGGAAUAUUACCACAAAGAGGAACAGAGCAGUGGGGUGUUAGCUUAGAGAAGUGAGAGCUAGACAUAACAUUGUCUAACUAACUUGUGACAGAAAUAACACAGUGGUCAAAAAACCAGGCUUACCUGGGAGCGGUGGCUCACAUCUGUAAUCCCAGCACUUUGGGAGGCUGAAGCAGGAGGAUUGCUAGAGCCCAGGAGUUUGAGACCAGCCUGGCCCCAUCCAUACAAAAACUUCGCCAGGUGUGGUGGCAUGUGCCUGCAGUCCCAGCUAUUUGGGAGUCUGAGGUGGGAAGGAUCACUUGAGCCUGGGAGGUCGAGGCUGCAGUGAGUUGUGAUUGUGCCACUGCACUUCACCCUGGAUGACAGAGUGAGAUCCCGUCUCCAAAACAACAACAGCAACACAAAAAAAGCAGGCUCUACUGCAUAUGGUGACUUCCUUCCAAAAAGUAAGAAACAGAAAGAGAGGGAAGUGAAGUAAUUUUACAGGGCAGAUAUCUGACAGAUGCCAUCUCAGCCAUGGUUAACAUAAGCAGUGAUAACUCCUGUAAAUAGUACCGACCCUGGAUACAGGUCAGUACUUUAUGGUUUUCCUCCCCCAAAUCCAUAACCUCAGUCUGAUCAUGAGAAAAACAUCAGACAAAUCGCAGUUGAGGAACAGUCUACAAAAUAGUGGAUAAGUUCCAACCAAUACUCCUCAAAACGAGGAAAGUCUGAGAAACCAUCACAGCCAAGAAGAGCCAGAGGAUACGACAAAUAAAUGUAAUGUGGUAUCCUGAAUGGGAUCCUGGAACAGAGAAAGGACAUCGGGUAAAAGCAAAGGAAGUCUGAAUAAAGCAUGGACUUUAGUUAAUAAUAAUGUGUCAAUAUUGUAAUGAAUGCAGCACACUCAUGCAAGAUGUUAAUAAUGGGAAACUGGGUGCGGAGUGUACUAAGGAUGUAGAGUAUCUGGGAACUCUUCCUACUAUCUGCUAAACUUUUCCAUAAAUUUAAAACUGUUCUUAAAAAAAUACAUCUAGGCCAGGCGCGGUGGCUCACGCCUGUAAUCCCAGCACUUUAGGAGGCUGAGGCAGGCAGAUCACCUGAGGUCGGGAGUUCGAGACCAGCCUGACCAACAUGGAGAAACCCUGUCUCUACUAAAAAUACAAAAAAAAAUUAAGCCGGGCAUGGUGGUGCAUGCCUGUAAUCCCAGCUACUCGGGAGGCUGAGAUAGGAGAAUCAUUUGAACCCGGGAGGCGGAGGUUGCGGUAAACUGAGAUUGCGCCAUUGCACUCCAGCCUAGGCAACAAGAGCGAAACUCCAUCUCAAAAAAAAGAUAAUAAUAACAUAAAAAAACACAUCUAUUUAAAAUUUAGAAAGAAAAGAAAAGAAAAAAAGAACAUAGAAUAUGCAGUCUGAUCAUCUGGUUAGAAUCUUAGUGUGCCAUUUAGAAGACUGUGACUCAAGGCAAGUUACUUAAAUUCUCUGAGAAUCAGUUCACCUAUCUAUAAAAUGGAAAUAGGAAGAGUGUCUACCUGAUAGAAUUGUUGUAAUAAGUAAAUGAGAUAAUCCAUGUAAAAUGCUUACCACAAUGGCCAAUAGUAAGCCUUGACAGGAGGUAGCUUUAUUAUUAUUACUACUAUUAUUUUGAAUCUUUAUUGAAUAUACAAAUGCACACUUAAUGUGAUUUUACAUUUAAUUUUUAAAGUAAUUAUUAAUGAUUUAUAUAAUAAUUUCCCUUUUCUUUCUUGAGAGGAAGAAAAUUGAAUACAGCCUAUUAUAUAUCAUUUGCAAAAAGCGUUUCUCAGUACAUCGUAAGUGUUGAGAGGUUUUUACGGUGUCAGCUGCUCCAAAUAAUUUAAUUUAAAUACCAAUCUAUGGUAAUGUAAUCAGAUGAGUUGUCUCCAGAGGUUCUGUAUGUACUACGUUAUCAUGUCUGUAACGUAAACAACAUAUUUCAUUUGGGCUUUUGGGCUCUUGCUUUCACUAAAAGCCAUAAAGUCAUCAAUGAUAACCACAGAAUAUAUUAUCUUGUGAUUACAUUAUUUUUAAUAACAAUACUUGACAAAAGUGAUUUGAAGAGUACUAUGUAGAAUAUGUUUAAAAAUAAAAGUAAUUAAAUGAAGUAAUGAAAGAAUGUAGUAAAAUAUCUGUUAUAUGAAGACACUAUUAAAAAAGAGAAUUUGGCCUAAGCAAUGGCUUACCAAUCAGGUUGUGCCUCAGACUCACUCCUGGGGCUUGACAAAAAAUGAAAGAAGCUGGACCCUCAACCCAGACUUCCUGAAUCAGCAGCUCUAGGAGUGGGACCUGCAUCUGUGUAUUUAAAAGACUGCAUAGGUGAUUUGUGUUUGUGAAUGACUGGCUUACCUUAUCCUGCACACACUGGUCAUAUCAUAUAGGCUGCUAUAUGAGCUGCCUUUGUAAACAUAACCUGACACUCACCGUCAUCAAGAAUCACGAUCGGCUCGAGAGAGCUUUACUUAGUAUAUUACAGUUGUUUUCUACAUUUAAGCUUGGGCUGUCAGCUGUCCUGAGCAUACAAAGGACUGCCUCUUUGAUUCAGUCCUCUGUCACUCUCCUUCCCCUCUCGAAGGUCAAGUUUUCCCUACCUGCACCUCUUCCCCUCUUUCUCCCUUCGCUGUGCCCACAGGAAAACUCGGCAUGUUUAGCACAGGCAGUUGCCUCAACACCCUGAACUGGGCUAGCCUUGCCUUCUUGCUGAGCCAAGAACUUGUGCAGCACCUGGUCAGGGCCAGCUCAGUAGUCCAGGCAGUCAGUAGGCAUGACCACCUGCACAAUGAAUUACAGCUGAAGUAUCAUGGAGUAAACAUUUUAGACCCUUUCCCUGUGAGAGAAUGAAUACACAAAGGGACAAUGGCCAGCUUAUAUAUAAAAAUAGAACUCUGCAGGCAAUGUACAUCAACCAGUCCAAGAAACCAACCUACCGUCUACAGUAUCUAACAAGUUAAACUAUCAGUAACUGGGUUAAACUGUAGCAACUAGCCCAGGCAGCCAAACAAGAACCCCUGUAGCAACCUGUCUCAAAUGGCCAGGACUUGAAUAAUUACUGACCACUUCCUCAAUUUUUGCUCCUACUUCCAACUUAGGGCCAACCAGAGAAAGCCAAUUAUGUACCCCUAAACAAACACACAAAAUACCCCCUUUUAGGUAGCUCAACUACAGCUUCCCCAUAUCAACAGCCUCCAAUCAGGACACAGCUGAAGCCUUCUUCUCCCACCCUCCUCCAUCCUCUGUCUGCUUUUGAGUCUCUGCCAAACACAAGCAAUGGUGCUGGCUCCCUUGCUUUGAAAAAAAUAGCUUUUGUUUGUUCUCAUUUGGGUGGUCCUCAUUCAUUUUCACCACUAGGAAAAUAGGGCUGCAUGCUUGAAAUGGAUCACUGAAUUGUUCUUUGAUGCCAGAAAUGUCUGUACUUUAGGGAGGCUGUUAGAUGUGGCCAGAAAGAACACAGCAGUAAGGGGAGAAGUGUAGAGUAGCUGGGGUUAAGGACAUAAGCCUUGGAUCCAGACUACCAUGGUUCAGAUCCUGGCUCUUCCAUUUCCAGCUGGUGAACCUGAACAAGUUACUUAACCAAUUUGUACCAGUUUCCUGACCUGUUAAAAAAACACUGGCGAUGAUAAUGACUCACAGAGUAAUUGGAGAAGUUAUAUGAGACAAGCCAUGUAAAGCAUGAAUAUCUGGAUUUCAAUGCUAUCAACAGAAAGAGAGAGAAUAAUCUGCCUCACUAAUUUACCACACCCACCUGGCCCCAUUCACCAACAUUAAACUGGACUAAAAACACUUUUCUUUCUCAAAGUCAGUAACUCUAGGAAAUCAACGGGUAUAAAUACUGUCCACGCCAAAAUCCAUCUCAAAAAGAUCUGAUGGGGAAGUGACCUUAUCCCUCAAAAUCCCUCAAAUGCACACUGGAAAUCUCGUUUUCUAGAAAUCAGACUUUUUUUUUUUUCUUAAGGGCCAUAACUUAAAAUUACAGAGCUUAAAAUAUAUAAACAUUUUUUGUAUAACCAGAAGCCCAUUGCUACAAUUCAAAGACUGUCACCAUACUGUUCAUCAGUAACAAAGAAAACUCUCCUCUUAGGCCUUCUGCUAGUCCUGGUAAGAAAAAUCCUAUUUCAGACCAUUAAAGCUAAGUUAUUUUGACAUAAUCAUGAUUCUUUUCAAUAAACAUUAAACAUGACAUUGUGGAAUAUCAAAUCUAACCAAAAAUGCCUGUACUUAACAAAACGAAGAUUUUUGUCCGAAUUAUCUCUGGCUACACUCAACACUUCCAGCAGGCAGUUGCUCAACUUUCCAAUGUCUGCAUAAAAUACAGUUCUGAAGCCAAUUUUUUUAGAUUAAAAUAAAAAGCCACCCUUUAGCAUAAACCUUCAUUCAACGAAAUUGGGUAAAUAAGAUUUAAUUAAGAAAAUUAGGAGCCGCGUUCAUUGCAAACCGUAGUUUACUUUAGCAUUUCACUUGUAAUUAAGUUAGGGGCUUAGGGAUGCAUUGAAAACACCAAAGGAUAAGUAUCUCAAAGUUCUAAAAAUGUCUCAAUACUAAAAUGAUGUUCUGGGGUGAUUUUGCAAGGACCAGAAGACAUCAUACAUUGCGAACCCAGUGAGGGUGGCAUCGCGGACGAACAGAAGAUGCUUUCACGCUGGUUAUCUGUCUUUCCCAGGCCUCGGCUCCCUUGACUUUGCAGCGAUACCCAAAAUUCUUUGAAAGAGAAGGGAGGGAAGGCAUCUGGGUCCCAGGGAGUCUCUGCAUCCAACCCAGGAAAGGAGGGGGCCGGCUCCCUGGCGGGAACUUCCCGGAGGCCGCGCCAGCCCCGCGAGGGACCCCAGCCAUGCAGGGCGACGCCGAGCGGGCCCCGCGGCGCGCUGGGCUCCCCCGCCGCCCCCGGCCGGUCCCCGCCGACUCACCCAGGCCGCGCCAGCCCAGCGCGCCGUCGCA
rnacentral:lncRNA from 10 species